rnacentral:rRNA from 1 species
AACGAACGCUGGCGGCAUGCCUAACACAUGCAAGUCGAACGAUGUCUUUCGGGGCAUAGUGGCGCACGGGUGCGUAACGCGUGGGAAUCUGCCCUUGGGUCUGGGAUAACAGUUGGAAACGACUGCUAAUACCGGAUGAUAUCGCGAGAUCAAAGAUUUAUCGCCCGAGGAUGAGCCCGCGUAGGAUUAGCUAGUUGGUGUGCUAAAGGCCUACCAAGGCGACGAUCCGUAGCUGGUCUGAGAGGAUGAUCAGCCACACUGGGACUGCGACACGGCCCAUACUCCGACGGGAGGCAGCGGUGGAAAGUGUUGGACAAUGGGCGGAAGGCUGAUCCAGCAAUGCCGCGUGGGUGAUGGAGGCCUUAGGGUUGUAAAGCUCUCUUACCCGGGAUGAUAAUGACGGUAACGGGAGAAUAAGCCCCGGCUAACUCCGUGCCAGCCGCCGCCGUAA